rnacentral:rRNA from 1 species
AACGAACGCUGGCGGCAUGCCUAACACAUGCAAGUCGAACGAAACGGUCGGGUCUAGUGGCGCACGGGUGCGUAACGCGUGGGAACCUGCCCGUAGGUUCGGAAUAACGCCCCGAAGGGGAUGCUAAUACCGGAUAGUGUCUUCGGGCCAAAGAUUUAUCGUCUUUGGAUGGGCCCGCGUUGGAUUAGCUGGUUGGUAGGGUAAAAGCCUACCAAGGCGACGAUCCAGAGCUGGUCUGCGAGGCUGAUCAGCCACACUGGGACUGAGACACGGCCCAGACUCCUACGGGAGGCAGCAGUGGGGAAUAUUGGACGCUGGGCGAAAGCCUGAUCCAGCAAUGCCGCGUGAGUGAUGCAGGCGUUAGGGUUGUAAAGCUCUUUUACCCGGGAUGAUAAUGACGGUACCGGGAGAAUAAGCUCCGGCUAACUCCGUG